UACGUAGGGUGCAAGCGUUAAUCGGAAUUACUGGGCGUAAAGCGUGCGCAGGCGGUUCGCUAAGACAGAUGUGAAAUCCCCGGGCUUAACCUGGGAAUGGCGUCCGAAACUAUGGGACUGGAGUGUGGCAGAGGGAGGUGGAAUUCCACGUGUAGCGGUGAAAUGCGUAGAGAUGUGGAGGAACACCGAUGGCGAAGGCAGCCUCCUGGGCCAACACUGACGCUCAUGCACGAAAGCGUGGGGAGCAAACAGG
rnacentral:rRNA from 1 species